UACGUAGGGGGGCAAGCGUUGUCCGGAAUCAUUGGGCGUAAAGCGCGUGUAGGCGGCCAGAAAAGUCCGCUGUGAAAACUCGAGGCUCAACUUCGAGCUGUCGGUGGAAACUUUCUGGCUAGAGUCCGGAAGAGGAGAGUGGAAUUCCUGGUGUAGCGGUGAAAUGCGCAGAUAUCAGGAAGAACACCCGUGGCGAAGGCGGCUCUCUGGGACGGUACUGACGCUGAGACGCGAAAGCGUGGGGAGCGAACAGG
rnacentral:rRNA from 1 species